CGCAUUUCAGUUGCCAUCGGGUAAUGCCGGGCACUCUGGAAGGACUGCCAUCGACAAGAUGGAGGAAGGUGGGGAGUGACGUCAAGUCAUCAUGGCCCUUAUGUCCAGGGCGACACACGUGCUACAAUGGCCGGCACAACGGGAAGCGAGUUCGCGAGGACGAGCGGAUCCCUCAAAGCCGGUCGCAGUUCGGAUUGAAGUCUGCAACUCGACUUCAUGAAGCUGGAAUCGCUAGUAAUCGUGGAUCAGCCAAGCCGCGGUGAAUACGUUCCCGGGCCUU
rnacentral:rRNA from 1 species